rnacentral:rRNA from 1 species
UGAGGAAUAUUGCACAAUGGGGGAAACCCGUGAUGCAGCAACGCCGCGUGGAGGAUGACGCAUUUCGGUGUGUAAACUCCUUUUAUUGAGUCAAGAAAAUGACGGUAGCUCAUGAAUAAGCACCGGCUAACUCCGUGCCAGCAGCCGCGGUAAUACGGAGGGUGCAAGCGUUACUCGGAAUCACUGGGCGUAAAGGACACGUAGGCGGGUUGGGUAAGUCAGAUGUGAAAUCCUACAGCUUAACUGUAGAACUGCAUUUGAAACUACUGACCUAGAGUAUGGGAGGGGGAGAUGGAAUUAGUGGUGUAGGGGUAAAAUCCGUAGAUAUCACUAGGAAUACCCAAAGCGAAGGCGAUCUCCUGGAACAUUACUGACGCUAAGGUGUGAAAGCGUGGGGAGCAAACG